UGUAAAGGCCUUCAAUGUGGAGUAUCACUGUUAUCUAUGUAAAGGCCUUCAAUGUGGAGUAUCACUGUUAUCUAUGUAAAGGCCUUCAAUGUGGAGUACAGCCUGUGAUUGAAGGAAGGGCGGCCUCAAUUCAGUUCAGUAGUCAGGAAGCGAAUUGGAAUGCUGAUUCAAAGAUUUGAAAAGUGCCAUCUAGUAUUUUCAAUGAGGAUUUUUAAAUAUUUUUUAUUCUUGAAUCUGAAUUUAAAUUUGCUUUCUGUUACAAGCUGCCAUUGCCUGAAUAAGACUGUGUAUGAAUUCUCAGUGCAGCUUAUUGGAUAAUGCAGUUUUCCUCCUGCCUUUUAUUGUCUACUGUUGGUGUGACAGAAGAGCUUCUCACGUCAGUCACAGGUCUUGGCUGUUUGAGAACCACAAGCUUUUUAGUGACGGUUUGUUUGUUUUUAUCAACUCUAGAUUGAUAAUACCCUCUAAUAUCAACUCUAGAUUGAUAAUACCCUCUAAUAUCAACUGUAGAUUGAUAAUACCCUCUAAUAUCAACUCUAGAUUGAUAAUACCCUCUAAUAUCAACUCUAGAUUGCUAAUACCCUCUAAUAUCAAAUGUUGGAGUUACAUUUUAAUAUCAACUGUAGAUUGCUAAUACCCUCUAAUAUCAAAUGUUGGAGUUACAUUUUAAUAUCAACUCUAGAUUGAUAAUAACCUGUAAUAAAUAAAGUUGUUAACCUUUUUAAUAGUUGUUUUCAUGACAUAGACGUACUGUGUUUUGUCCAUUUAUUUAGCGUCAUGAUGCUUGUUAAUGCAGUGGAGUGUCAGGUGUCUCAGGUGAGUCUUCAUUAACAUAUUCAAACCAUGACUUGUUUUUGGAGUGAGGGAGUCAAUCAGGCCUUUUUGAAAGAGAACCUGGAGACCCAUUUUAAGAACAGAGAGAAACCAGUUUCCCUCUGUGGCAUGUGCCUAGUCGUUUCCCUUCCUCAUUAUAGCCUGAGGCCAGACAACAGACUCACUUCACUAGAAGGGGCUUCAUUGGGUUCAGACCUAUUAAAUGGGUCUGUCUGAGUGAGGAGUUUUUAUCUAAGGGAGGGAAGAUAUUCAUGCCUUUUAAUCUUCGACAAAAAUGUCUAACCUUUUGUUUUGUUUUUAUGCUUUUGAAAUGUACAGGGACAAUUUAACUAGUUAAAACAUCAAAUGGUUGACGUUUUGGUUAGAUGUGAUGGUACAAUUUAUAAACUGUAAAUAAAAAUGUAUCAUGUUUCUAAUCUGUGUACAAAUGUUUUCAUUGGGUUUACAGUGACUUUAUAUUAAAGCCAAAUGUAUCUAUUAAAAGGCCACAAUGUGUGUGGUUUCAGUGCAGACAAAAGGAUGUUUCUCCUCUCUGGAAACGUGAAUGUACAGAACGCAAAC
ensembl:lncRNA